ensembl:lncRNA
UUUUUUUUUUUUUUUAAAUCCUCUAUAACAGAACCCCAUUUCCUGAGAGAUUUCCACUAUGCUAUUCCCUGAGCUGGUCAGUGUGGUAAUGUGCUUCUAAACUCUGUAAAAUAUGGUAUUAUUCCAACAGUAGCUUGUUUUGUCUUGUCUCUAUGUUUUUGUUUCUGAUACUACAGCAUUGUACAUAUUAACUUCCACCAAAAUUCAGACUGACCUAGGGCUAGCGUUUUCCCCUCCUUAUUUUUUCAGUUACCAGAAUUUGUAUAGAAGUUGGCGUACUAUUGAUUUGGUGCUUUUUUUUGACACCUUCUUUAAAAGUGGUUUUAUUUCCCUUUUAAUUAGUUCCAUCCUCUGAGCUAUACUGCACUUAGGAUAAUUUUAGUAUCUUCAACUGUAGGAAUGUCAUCCUGAACCACAUUCUCUUCUGUACCUCAUAGCUUUCUUGUGGCUCCUCAAUUUAAAAAUUUUCUUGAAAUCUUCUUGACUUCAAGUGUCAACAGCUUGGUUUCCUUGCAGUUUACAUGAGGUCACUCUCUCUUACAUUGGUGCCCUUUAUUUGGAGCAGUCCCUCACAUAGCAGUUCCUCCACAAAAUGUUAAAAACCCUUAUAUAUGAGCUUAUGAGUUUAAUCAUUGAAUCGAUAAGCAGAGCUAACAGCCAAAAGCAAUAGAUUUAUAUUUCUUUCCAAAUUUCUUGACCAUUUCGGUUUUUGGACAGGCUGCUUUUGGACUCAUUUACACUAAAAUAAUUAUUUAAUUCCCAAGGUAGCAUUUCCUAAUCCCUCUGCAGGACAUAGAAGGUUAUCUACCAUCCCUCAAAGGACUGUCAGACUGUUACUAACAAGCAUUCCAAAUGAAAAUUGUUAUUUUGCAAUUAAUAAACAGAAACAAAUCACUGACAUUGCUAAUCCCAAGAACCGGAGAUGAGGAUGUUCAUGUACACCAUAGCUCUUGUUUUCUUAACAAUUCUUCAACAAUACUGCACUCAAAGAACAGUUUUAAAGCAAACAAAUAUUUCUUCCAAGGGCUAGGAACAAAACCAGAAUAGCUUUUAUUGGUUGAUUCCCAACAGAAGCAGUACAGCUAUUAUUGUUUAAAGUAUUAAAGCUUCACAGACAUUAAAGACAUCAACUUCUCCCCAUCAAUA